rnacentral:rRNA from 1 species
GACGGAGGAUGCAAGCGUUAUCCGGAAUGAUUGGGCGUAAAGCGUCCGCAGGUGGCCGUUCAAGUCUGCUGUCAAAGACCGGGGCUUAACUUCGGAAAGGCAGUGGAAACUGAACAGCUAGAGUAUGGUAGGGGCAGAGGGAAUUCCUGGUGUAGCGGUGAAAUGCGUAGAGAUCAGGAAGAACAUCGGUGGCGAAGGCGCUCUGCUGGACCAUAACUGACACUCAAGGACGAAAGCUAGGGGAGCGAAUGGG